GAUGAACGCUAGCUACAGGCUUAACACAUGCAAGUCGAGGGGAAACGGCAUUGAGUGCUUGCACUCUUUGGACGUCGACCGGCGCACGGGUGAGUAACGCGUAUCCAACCUUCCCAUUACUGUGGGAUAACCUGCCGAAAGGCAGACUAAUACCGCAUAGUCUUCGAUGACGGCAUCAGAUUUGAAGUAAAGAUUUAUCGGUAAUGGAUGGGGAUGCGUCUGAUUAGCUUGUUGGUGGGGUAACGGCCCACCAAGGCAACGAUCAGUAGGGGUUCUGAGAGGAAGGUCCCCCACAUUGGAACUGAGACACGGUCCAAACUCCUACGGGAGGCAGCAGUGAGGAAUAUUGGUCAAUGGACGGAAGUCUGAACCAGCCAAGUAGCGUGCAGGAUGACGGCCCUAUGGGUUGUAAACUGCUUUUGUAUGGGGAUAAAGUUAGGGACGUGUCCCUAUUUGCAGGUACCAUACGAAUAAGGACCGGCUAAUUCCGUGCCAGCAGCCGCGGUAAUACGGAAGGUCCAGGCGUUAUCCGGAUUUAUUGGGUUUAAAGGGAGCGUAGGCUGGAGAUUAAGUGUGUUGUGAAAUGUAGACGCUCAACGUCUGAAUUGCAGCGCAUACUGGUUUCCUUGAGUACGCACAACGUUGGCGGAAUUCGUCGUGUAGCGGUGAAAUGCUUAGAUAUGACGAAGAACUCCGAUUGCGAAUGCAGCUGACGGGAGCGCAACUGACGCUUAAGCUCGAAAGUGCGGGUAUCAAACAGG
rnacentral:rRNA from 1 species